ensembl:snoRNA
UCGUCUUACAAAGGCAUUUCUUUGGUUCUCUGUCUUUGGACAUGUAAGCAUUGGAGGAAAAGAAAUUUUGUGGAUUUGGAGAAGUCUGAGGCCAGCUUGUUCACUGUAGGCUCAGGAUCAAUCAUCCCACAUAG